rnacentral:rRNA from 1 species
GGGGGGGGGGGGGGGGGGGGGGAGCGCGUGGGGGUGGGGGGGGGACGGCGGGGAGGGUUGCUUCCCCGGGCGUCGGGCGGCGGGCGGGUGAGUAACGCGUAGCCAACCUGCCUCUGACUGAGGGAUAACCCGUCGAAGGUCGGCCUAAUACCUCAUGGUAUCGUCUGCGGGGAUCCAACGGCGAAUAAAGAUUUCCUCGGUCAGGGGUGGGGAUGCGUCUGUUUAGCUUGUUGGCGGGGUAACGGCCCACCCAGGCUACGUUCAGUAGGGGUUCUGAGAGGAAGGUCCCCCACAUUUGAACUGAGCCACGGUCCAAAGUCCUACGACGCGCAGCAGUGAGGAAUAUUGGGCAAUGGGCGAGAGCCUGAACCAGCCAAGUAGCGUGCAGGAAGACGGCCCUCUGGGUUGUAAACUGCUUGUAUGCGGGGAUAGAGUGAGGGACGUGUCACUCAUUGCAGGUACCGCAUGAAUAAGCACCGGCUAAUUCCGUG